GAUGAACGCUGGCGGCGUGCCUAAUACAUGCAAGUCGAGCGAACAGACAAGGAGCUUGCUCCUUUGACGUUAGCGGCGGACGGGUGAGUAACACGUGGGUAACCUACCUAUAAGACUGGGAUAACUUCGGGAAACCGGAGCUAAUACCGGAUAAUAUUUCGAACCGCAUGGUUCGAUAGUGAAAGAUGGUUUUGCUAUCACUUAUAGAUGGACCCGCGCCGUAUUAGCUAGUUGGUAAGGUAACGGCUUACCAAGGCGACGAUACGUAGCCGACCUGAGAGGGUGAUCGGCCACACUGGAACUGAGACACGGUCCAGACUCCUACGGGAGGCAGCAGUAGGGAAUCUUCCGCAAUGGGCGAAAGCCUGACGGAGCAACGCCGCGUGAGUGAUGAAGGUCUUCGGAUCGUAAAACUCUGUUAUUAGGGAAGAACAUACAUGUAAGUAACUAUGCACGUCUUGACGGUACCUAAUCAGAAAGCCACGGCUAACUACGUGCCAGCAGCCGCGGUAAUACGUAGGUGGCAAGCGUUAUCCGGAAUUAUUGGGCGUAAAGCGCGCGUAGGCGGUUUUUUAAGUCUGAUGUGAAAGCCCACGGCUCAACCGUGGAGGGUCAUUGGAAACUGGAAAACUUGAGUGCAGAAGAGGAAAGUGGAAUUCCAUGUGUAGCGGUGAAAUGCGCAGAGAUAUGGAGGAACACCAGUGGCGAAGGCGACUUUCUGGUCUGUAACUGACGCUGAUGUGCGAAAGCGUGGGGAUCAAACAGGAUUAGAUACCCUGGUAGUCCACGCCGUAAACGAUGAGUGCUAAGUGUUAGGGGGUUUCCGCCCCUUAGUGCUGCAGCUAACGCAUUAAGCACUCCGCCUGGGGAGUACGACCGCAAGGUUGAAACUCAAAGGAAUUGACGGGGACCCGCACAAGCGGUGGAGCAUGUGGUUUAAUUCGAAGCAACGCGAAGAACCUUACCAAAUCUUGACAUCCUUUGACAACUCUAGAGAUAGAGCCUUCCCCUUCGGGGGACAAAGUGACAGGUGGUGCAUGGUUGUCGUCAGCUCGUGUCGUGAGAUGUUGGGUUAAGUCCCGCAACGAGCGCAACCCUUAAGCUUAGUUGCCAUCAUUAAGUUGGGCACCCUAAGUUGACUGCCGGUGACAAACCGGAGGAAGGUGGGGAUGACGUCAAAUCAUCAUGCCCCUUAUGAUUUGGGCUACACACGUGCUACAAUGGACAAUACAAAGGGCAGCGAAACCGCGAGGUCAAGCAAAUCCCAUAAAGUUGUUCUCAGUUCGGAUUGUAGUCUGCAACUCGACUACAUGAAGCUGGAAUCGCUAGUAAUCGUAGAUCAGCAUGCUACGGUGAAUACGUUCCCGGGUCU
rnacentral:rRNA from 1 species